AACGAACGCUGGCGGCAUGCCUAACACAUGCCAGUCGAACGAUCCCUUCGGGGAUAGUGGCGCACGGGUGCGUAACGCGUGGGAACCUGCCCUUAGGUUCGGAAUAACUCAGAGAAAUUUGAGCUAAUACCGGAUAAUGUCUUCGGACCAAAGAUUUAUCGCCUUUGGAUGGGCCCGCGUUGGAUUAGCUAGUUGGUGGGGUAAAGGCCUACCAAGGCGACGAUCCAUAGCUGGUCUGAGAGGAUGAUCAGCCACACUGGGACUGAGACACGGCCCAGACUCCUACGGGAGGCAGCAGUGGGGAAUAUUGGACAAUGGGCGAAAGCCUGAUCCAGCAAUGCCGCGUGAGUGAUGAAGGCCUUAGGGUUGUAAAGCUCUUUUAACCGGGAUGAUAAUGACAGUACCGGGAGAAUAAGCCCCGGCUAACUCCGUG
rnacentral:rRNA from 1 species